UGCAAUAGCAUCUCCUUUCGCAUAAAUAUUAUGCCCAUCCACAAACAAGAAUUCAUUUCAGAUCAAAACAUGAGCUACUCAUCAACUGAGCCCUGAGCUACCUUCAAUUACCAGAGACAAGCCACCAUUAACUACUUCAUCAAUGUCUACAACCCAACCAUCAUCAACCUAAUAGCAACCACUCAUCCAGAUCCCUUCAUUAUUCGCCGCCACAAAAUCUACGCUUUCAUUCUUUUUGCACUCCUAGCAUUUCUUCAGAUCCAGAACACCGGAAGCACACCAUCACCGUUCCAUGAUCACCCUGUCACAACCCAAGCUUGUUUUCUUGCCAUUUUUUGUUACUUCCUAGCCUUCAUGGCCUCGCUGCGUUUGCCUCAGUAUUCUUCUCAGUUAAGCACAGCCAUGGCGGCUUUCGGUUCGUUCUCCUCGGCUACCUUGGUACAUUCUGAGAUCUGUCUUGAGAAUGAGGAGAUCGUGGCAGCGAAAUUCCCAAAGGCAACAACAACUCUUGCCACUGAGAUACAUGGAUCUGAUGAGUAGAGAGCACCGUAAUAAUAAUGUGUACUUGAUGGAAGCACCAAUGGAAGUUACUGUCGUAGAUUCGUAUGUUGUUCCAUUUUGAGGGUUUUCUUUCAGUUCAUGGGAGUUGCUGUACCAAUGUUAUUCAGUAAUGAGUUAAUGAAGUAUAUAUAACUUUCAGCCUUCAGUCUUCUUCUCUCUCACCUCGAAGCUCGGGAUCAAGGAUUUAUACAUCAUCAUUCAUUCAUCAGUGCUGCAAUUUUCUUUGAUUCGCGGGCGUUGGCCCUUGAAAAGAGAUCUAGGAGGGAAAAGGGGAAGAAGGUGGCAAAAGCAAAAGUCAGAAAAAUGAAUGCAGACGCAAGAACAAGGAAAUAAAUAUGAAGUUAGAUGCGGCAAUAGUCUGCACGCAUAUGCAGGUUAGAUAUGAGGUUAGAUAUGGCGGUAGUCCGCACACAUAUGCAGAUGCAGAAAAGUAAAUAUGAAAACACAAAAAUGAAGAACUGAAGUUUUAUUGAAUGAUUGGAAAAGAAAGAAGAGGGAAGAAGAAGAGUUGGAGAGCUUACAAGGGAACUCUCAAAGCUUCUCUCACUAACUUUUCUCUAUGUGUUUAUAAACUAAAGGGUGUCUUACAAUGAGAACAAGGCCUCCUUUUAUAAUUGAAGAUACUACUGUGUCUACAGUACGUGUGAAGAUGACCGGUACUAUUUCUACAGUACAGGUUGAUAUGAUUUUGAAUUUAGUGAUUACAUAAAUUUUGAGAUUAAAGGCUAAUCUUCUCCGAGGUUAAUUCCAAAGCAGUCAUCUUCAUUUUAAUUAUAACUGCUUGAGGAUUUUGCUGACGAAGUAGGAUUUUCUUUGUGUUUUUCAUCUUCUUCGAUCAUCUGCAUGAUUUGUUGAAGGUGUUUUACCAAGGAUUCUUUUGAUUGAGCUCCUGCAAGGACUGCAGCUAUUUGAGCUUUCUGAUUGAGAAACGAAGCUGUUUUUGGAUCUGAAAUCUUCUGACUGUGUGCAUUAUUUUUGAAUCAUUCUCUGACCUUAUCUGGAUAGGCCAUUGAUGAAUCAAAUUGAGACCACCAUUUUACGUAACCAUGUCUUUGUAGGAUUGGAAGUGAUUUGCAGUGGUCUGAUUUUGCAUAUUGUAUUGCCAGGAAAAUACCCAUGCUAGUGAAACAUUUGAGAAAAAUUUUAACAUUACAGGAAUACAUGAUUCCUGCCUGUUAAAUUUUGAUUGAAAAAGUUUAUACCCUUCAUCUGUUGGUGAAGGUAGAAUUUCAGGGAUUGGCCCAAAGAAGUCCCACCAUUGGUAGAACCAAUUUGAAAAAAUAUAAUUGGUUUUUCUUUUAAAAUAGAUUAACCAUGAAUGUCUGUACUGAGUAUUUUGAAACCAAAAUACUUUAGUCCAGACAUUCUAAUACUCAGUACAAACAUUCAUGGUUAAUCUAUUUUAAAAGAAAAACCAAUUAUAUUUUUUCAAAUUGGUUCUACCAAUGGUGGGACUUCUUUGGGCCAAUCCCUGAAAUUCUACCCUCACCAACAGAUGAAUGGUAUAAACUUUUUCAAUCAAAAUUUAACAGCCAGGAAUCAUGUAUUCCUGUAAUGUUAAAAUUUUUCUCAAAUUUUUCACUAGCAUGGGUAUUUUCCUGGUAAUACAAAUAUGCAAAAUCAGACCACUGCAAAUCACUUCCAAUCCUACAAAGGCAUGGUUACGUAAAAUGGUGGUCUCAAUUUGAUUCAUCAAUGGCCUAUCCAGAUAAGGUCAGAGAAUGGUUCAAAAAUAAUGCACACAGUCAGAAGAUUUCAGAUCCAGAAAUGGCUUCGUUUCUCAAUCAGAAAGCUCAAAUAGUUGCAGCCCUUGCAGGAGCUCAAUCAAAAGAAUCCUUGGCAAAACACCUUCAGCAAAUCAUACAGAUGAUCGAAAAAGAUGAAAAAUACAAAGAAAAUCCUACUUCGUCAGUAGAAUCCUCAAGCGGUUAUAAUCAAAAUGAAGAUGACUGCUUUGAAAUUGACCUCAGAGAGGAUUAGCCUUUAAUCUCAAAAUUUAUGUAAUCACUAAAUUCAAAAUCAUAUCAACCUGUACUGUAGAAAUAGUACCGGUCAUCUUCACCUGUACUGUAGACACAGUAGUAUCUUCAAUUAUAAAAGGAGGCCUUGUUCUCAUUGUAAGGCACCCUUUAGUCUAGAAACACAUAGAGAGAAGUUAGUGAGAGAAGCUCUGAGAGUUCCCUUGUAAGCUUUCCAGCUCUUUUUCUUCUCUCUUCUUUCUUUUCCAAUCAUUCAAUAAAACUUCAGUUCUUCAUUUUUGUGUUUUCAUAUUUACUUUUCUGCAUCUGCAUAUGUGUGCGGACUACCGCCACAUCUAACCUCAUACCUAACCUGCAUAUGCGUAUGGACUACCGCCACAUCUAACUUCAUAUUUAUUUCAUUGUUCUUGCAUUUGCAUUCAUUUUUCUGACUUUUGCUUUUGCCACCUUCUUCUCCUUUUCCCUCCUAGAUCCCUUUUCAAGGGUCAACUGGUAUAUAUAUAUAUAUAUAAAAGAUAAAAUAAAAGCAAUUGAAGAAAAAAUUAAGAAAGAAUUAUGUAGUCUAAACCCCACAGAUUUUCAGCAUAGAAAAUUACAUGAAAUAUCUUUACCAUAUGAAGAUGGGUUUAAUGAAAAAAAUAUACCAACAAAGGCAAAAUCGAUACAUAUGAACAAAGAGUAUCUAGAAUAUUGUAAAAAAGAAAUACAAGAAUAUCUGGAUAAGGGACUAAUAAGGCCUUCAAAAUCACCCUGGAGUUGUACAUGGUUCUAUGUGAUGAAAGCAUCUGAAAUAGAAAGAGGUGCUCCAAGAUUAGUUAUUAAUUAUAAACCUCUAAACAAGGUAUUAAAAUGGAUUAUGCGUCCCCUACCAAAUAAAAGUGAUUUAAUUAAAAGAUUAAAUAAAGCAAAUAUCUUUUCAAAAUUUAAUUUAAAAUCAGGAUAUUAUCAAAUCGCAGUAAAAGAAGAAGAAAGAUAUAAAACAGCUUUUAUAAUACCUUUUGGACAUUAUGAAUGGAAUGUAAUACCUCAAGGAUUAAAAAAUGCUCCAAGGAAUUCCAAAAAAUAAUGAAUAAUAUAUUUUACCCGCAUAUAGAAUUUACUAUAGUAUAUCUUUUUGACGUAUUAGUAUACUCAAAAAGAAUAAAGCAGCAUAUAUAUUAUCUAGAAAAAUUUAUGGAUAUUAUAAAAGAACAAGGAUUAGUUUUAUCAGAAAAGAAAAUGAAAAUUUUUACAAUUAAAGUAAGGUUUUUAGGAUAUGAAAUUUUUCAAGGAACUAUAGUACCUAUUAAAAGAGCUAUUGAAUUUUCAGAUACAUUUCCAAAUGAAAUAACUGACAAAAAACAACUACAAAGGUUUUUGGGAUGUUUAAAUUAUGUAGCACAAUUCUUACCUGGAAUCAGAGUUACAUGCGAACCUCUUUAUAAGAGAUUAAGAAAAAAUCCACCUCCAUGGACAAAAGAAAUGACUUCUAUAAUAAUAAAGAUAAAAAAUGCAAUAAAAGAAAUACCUUGUAUAAGUAUACUAGACUCAUCGGCUAAAUUAAUUAUAGAAACAGAUGCAUCAAAAUUAGGAUAUGGAGGAAUUCUUAAACAAAUACCUCCUAAUAGCUCAAAAGAACAAAUAGUAAAAUAUCAUUCAGGAAUUUGGAACCAGGCUCAAAAGAAUUACUCAACAGUCAAAAAAGAAAUACUUGCCAUAGUAUUAUGUGUUUCAAAAUUUAAAGAAGAUUUAUUUAAUAAAACCUUCUUAAUAAGAACUGAUUAUUUGGUUUCAAAACAAAUAUUUGCAAGAUGUCAAGCUAUUUUAUCAUGUUUCGAUUUUACUAUUAAAUAUAUAAAAGGAGAACUAAAUUCACUCUUCGA